AUGGAUCCUGUCGUGACCAGCAGUAGCAGCAGCAGGAGGAGAGGAGGCUACGGCUGCAAGGAGAGCUGCCAUGGCCACUGCCUACCUCCUCACUCUGCCAAAUGCCUCUGCCUCUACCUGCUGCUCUCGCUGAUCGUCCUCGUCCUCGUCGCGGCCGUGCUGCUCGUCGUCUUCGUCACGAGGCUCAAGAAGCCGACCUUCUACCCGCAGUCCGUGCAGAUGGACAGGUCGUUCAGCCUCAGACCGGCGUCUUCGAACCGCAGCGGCGACAACGCGACGUCGUCGUCCUCGUGCUUGGUGGCGUCGCUGCUGUUCGCGGCGCAGAACCUGAACGGGAUCGGGAUAAGGAGUCCAACGUCAGCCGGCUCGUCGUCAGCGAGCUGUCGGCGCAGAGGAAGCUCGUCGAGAUCAGGAUCGCCGGGAGCAUCGACGCCACCACGCACAUCAUGA
rnacentral:rRNA from 1 species